CAAUUAGUAAAAGUACUUUAUUUUCCUCUUGUAUUUGCUUUAUAUCUUGCUUUACAAAGUUAUGAAGUUCACAGCUUUAUACCAAAAUGUAAGAAGGCUAGGCUAUUUGCUUAUAAACAUUUCCACAGUCAAGUGUCAAUCUGAUUUCAUUCUUCUAAUCCAUACUCCAUAUAAAAAAAAAAAAAAAUCAGAAACCAAGGGUGCUAGAGCAGCUCUAGGGCAUAUACUUCUUUUUAACAGGAGAAAGAUUUUUCAACAGCCUUUCCUCCUUAACCCCGUCCUUUCUCAAUCCAUUUGGGUCACUACUUGAAUUUAGAGCAAAUUUGGGAAACUUCAGUCACCACAUGACCCAGGAGGGCUAUAUACCUGGGGAUGGAGGUGAGGUUAGAGGUUAUUGUCUGAUAAGUAGUUAAGUUUGGUUUACAUAAGCAUUUCAUAUCCACUUGCAUAAGGAAUUCAGUAAAGCCCAAAUCACCUCCACCACAGCUUCUAUUCCUAUCCAUUAGACCACUUCUCUUAAACCCUGAGGAUACUGAUGAUUUGAGGCAGGGAUGAAACCACUAUUUUAUAAAUGGGGUAGGCAUGGCCUUCAUAGUAAUUCUAGUAAUUCUCCUUUAGGAACAAAUUUAUAAGUAAGCGCAUAUAAAUUGCAGUUAUUUGAGCAAAUCAGAGAGUACGUGCUAUUCAAAUCCCAUUUUACCAUAUAUUUCAAUCUCCCCUCCAAUAAAU